GCAGCCUGAUGCAGCAACGCCGCGUGAGGGAUGACGGCCUUCGGGUUGUAAACCUCUUUUAGUAGGGAAGAAGGGCUUCGGCUUGACGGUACCUGCAGAAAAAGCACCGGCUAACUACGUGCCAGCAGCCGCGGUAAUACGUAGGGUGCGAGCGUUGUCCGGAAUUAUUGGGCGUAAAGAGCUCGUAGGCGGUUUGUCACGUCUGCUGUGAAAUCCCGAGGCUCAACCUCGGGCCUGCAGUGGGUACGGGCAGACUGGAGUGCGGUAGGGGAGAAUGGAAUUCCUGGUGUAGCGGUGGAAUGCGCAGAUAUCAGGAGGAACACCGAUGGCGAAGGCAGUUCUCUGGGCCGUAACUGACGCUGAGGAGCGAAAGCGUGGGGAGCGAACAGGAUUAGAUACCCUGGUAGUCCACGCCGUAAACGUUGGGCGCUAGAUGUGGGGACCUUUCCACGGUUUCCGUGUCGUAGCUAACGCAUUAAGCGCCCCGCCUGGGGAGUACGGCCGCAAGGCUAAAACUCAAAGGAAUUGACGGGGGCCCGCACAAGCGGCGGAGCAUGCGGAUUAAUUCGAUGCAACGCGAAGAACCUUACCAAGGCUUGACAUAACCGAGAACGCCGCAGAAAUGUGGAACUCUUUG
rnacentral:rRNA from 1 species